GACGAACGCUGGCGGCGUGCUUAACACAUGCAAGUCGAACGGAAAGGCCCUGCUUUUGUGGGGUGCUCGAGUGGCGAACGGGUGAGUAACACGUGAGUAACCUGCCCUUGACUGUGGGAUAACUUCAGGAAACUGGGGCUAAUACCGGGUAGGAGCUCCUGCUGCAUGGGGGGGGUUGGAAAGAUCCGGCGGUUGUGGAUGGACUUGCGGGUUAUCAGCUUGUUGGGGGGGUAGUGGCUUACCACGGCUUUGACGGGUAGCCGGCCUGAGAGGGGGACCGGCCACAUUGGGACUGCGAUACGGCCCAGACUCCUACGGGAGGCAGCAGUGGGGAAUAUUGCAGAAUGGGCGGAAGCCUGAUGCAGCAACGCCGCGUGCGGGAUGACGGCCUUCGGGUUGUAAACCGCUGUCGCCUGUGACGAAGAGUGAGUGACGGUAAUGGGUAAAGAAGCACCGGCUAACUACGUG
rnacentral:rRNA from 1 species